UACGGAGGGUGCGAGCGUUGUCCGGAAUCACUGGGCGUAAAGGGCGCGUAGGCGGCCCGGCAAGUCAACGGUGAAAGCUUGGGGCUCAACCCCGAGUCGGCCGUCGAUACUUCCGGGCUGGAGCACUGUAGAGGCAGGUGGAAUUCCGGGUGUAGCGGUGGAAUGCGUAGAGAUCGGGAGGAACACCAGUGGCGAAGGCGGCCGGCUGGGGGUGCCCUGACGCUGAGGCGCGAAGGCCAGGGAGCAAACGGGAUUAGAGUA
rnacentral:rRNA from 1 species